rnacentral:rRNA from 1 species
CAAUAGCGUAUAUUAAAGUUGUUGCAGUUAAAAAGCUCGUAGUUGGAUUUCUGGUAGGAGUGUCCGUUCCGAACUUGAUUGUUCGUGUAUUGUGUUUUCUCCAGCCAUCCUUGUGGAGAACUUUUCUUGCAUUAAUUUGUAGGGAUUGGGACCCGCAUCGUUUACUGUGAAAAAAUUAGAGUGUUUAAAGCAGGCAAUCGCUUGAAUACAUUAGCAUGGAAUAAUAAGAUAGGACUUUGGUACUAUUUUGUUGGUUUGCAUACCAAAUUAAUGAUCAACAGGAACAGUUUGAGGAUAUUCGUAUGAACAUGUCAGAGGUGAAAUUCUUGGAUUUUGAUCAGACGAACUACUGCGAAAGCAUUUAUCAAGGAUGUUUUCAUUAA